GACGAACGCUGGCGGCAUGCUUAACACAUGCAAGUCGAACGGAAAGGCCCUGCUUUUGUGGGGUGCUCGAGUGGCGAACGGGUGAGUAACACGUGAGUAACCUGCCCUUGACCUUGGGAUAACUUCAGGAAACUGGGGCUAAUACCGGAUAGGAGCUCCUGCUGCAUGGUGGGGGUUGGAAAGUUUCGGCGGUUGGGGAUGGACUCGCGGCUUAUCAGCUUGUUGGUGGGGUAGUGGCUUACCAAGGCUUUGACGGGUAGCCGGCCUGAGAGGGUGACCGGCCACAUUGGGACUGAGAUACGGCCCAGACUCCUACGGGAGGCAGCAGUGGGGAAUAUUGCACAAUGGGCGGAAGCCUGAUGCAGCAACGCCGCGUGCGGGAUGACGGCCUUCGGGUUGUAAACCGCUUUCGCCUGUGACGAAGCGUGAGUGACGGUAAUGGGUAAAGAAGCACCGGCUAACUACGUG
rnacentral:rRNA from 1 species